rnacentral:rRNA from 1 species
UGGAAACGGUAGCUAAUACCUCAUAUCGUGAUCUGCCCGAGGGCGGGGGAUAACCACUGGAAACGGUGGCUAAUACCGCAUAAUGUCGCGAGACCAAAGUGGGGGACCUGAAAGGGCCUCACGCCGUCGGAUGAACCCAGAUGGGAUUAGCUAGUAGGUAGGGUAAAGGCCUACCUAGGCGACGAUCCCUAGCUGGUCUGAGAGGAUGACCAGCCACACUGGGACUGAGACACGGCCCAGACUCCUACGGGAGGCAGCAGUGGGGAAUAUUGCACAAUGGGCGCAAGCCUGAUGCAGCCAUGCCGCGUGUAUGAAGAAGGCCUUCGGGUUGUAAAGUACUUUCAGCGGGGAGGAAGGGUUCAGCUUGAACAGAGCUGGAUUUUGACGUUACCCGCAGAAGAAGCACCGGCUAACUCCGUGCCAGCAGCCGCGGUAAUACGGAGGGUGCAAGCGUUAAUCGGAAUGACUGGGCGUAAAGCGCACGCAGGCGGUCAAUUAAGUUAGAUGUGAAAUCCCCGGGCUCAACCUGGGAAUGGCAUCUAAGACUGGUUGGCUGGAGUCUCGUAGAGGGGGGUAGAAUUCCAUGUGUAGCGGUGAAAUGCGUAGAGAUGUGGAGGAAUACCGGUGGCGAAGGCGGCCCCCUGGACGAAGACUGACGCUCAGGUGCGAAAGCGUGGGGAGCAAACAGGAUUAGAUACCCUGGUAGUCCACGCUGUAAACGAUGUCGAUUUGGAGGUUGUGGCCUUGAGCUGUGGCUUCCGAAGCUAACGCGUUAAAUCGACCGCCUGGGGAGUACGGCCGCAAGGUUAAAACUCAAAUGAAUUGACGGGGGCCCGCACAAGCGGUGGAGCAUGUGGUUUAAUUCGAUGCAACGCGAAGAACCUUACCUACUCUUGACAUCCAGAGAAGACCUCAGAGAUGAGGUUGUGCCUUCGGGAGCUCUGAGACAGGUGCUGCAUGGCUGUCGUCAGCUCGUGUUGUGAAAUGUUGGGUUAAGUCCCGCAACGAGCGCAACCCUUAUCCUUUGUUGCCAGCGCGUGAAGGCGGGAACUCAAAGGAGACUGCCGGUGAUAAACCGGAGGAAGGUGGGGAUGACGUCAAGUCAUCAUGGCCCUGACGAGUAGGGCUACACACGUGCUACAAUGGCGGAUACAAAGUGAAGCGACCUCGCGAGAGCAAGCGGAACACACAAAGUCUGUCGUAGUCCGGAUGGGGUGAAGUCGUACAAGGGGUAAACCCGGACG